UCGCUACUACCGAUUGAAUGGCUUAGUGAGGCUUCCGGAUCGGCGUCUUGAUGAAGGCAACUUCGACUUGAUGCUGAAAAGCUAGUCAAACUUGGUCAUUUAGAGGAAGUAA
rnacentral:rRNA from 1 species